AUUGAACGCUGGCGGCAGGCCUAACACAUGCAAGUCGAGCGGAUGAAGGGAGCUUGCUCCUGGAUUCAGCGGCGGACGGGUGAGUAAUGCCUAGGAAUCUGCCUGGUAGUGGGGGAUAACGUCCGGAAACGGGCGCUAAUACCGCAUACGUCCUGAGGGAGAAAGUGGGGGAUCUUCGUACCUCACGCUAUCAGAUGAGCCUAGGUCGGAUUAGCUAGUUGGUGGGGUAAAGGCCUACCAAGGCGACGAUCCGUAACUGGGCUGAGAGGAUGAUCAGGCACACUGGAGCUGAGACACGGGCCAGACUGCUACGGGAGGCAGCAGUGGGGAAUAGUGGACAAUGGGCGAAAGCCUGAGCCAGCCAGGCCGCGUGUGUGAAGAAGGUCUUCGGAUUGUAAAGCACUUUAAGUUGGGAGGAAGGGCAGUAAGUGAAUACCUUGCUGGUUUGACGUGACCAACAGAAUAAGCACCGGCUAACUUCGUG
rnacentral:rRNA from 1 species